AGCCUUCUGUAUCCGUGCUGAGAUUUCGUCACACAAAAAAAAAAAAAAAAAAAAAAAACUCCCAAGAUAAGUGAAGUG
rnacentral:pre_miRNA from 1 species